rnacentral:rRNA from 1 species
AUUGAACGCUGGCGGCAGGCCUAACACAUGCAAGUCGAGCGAGCGGCGGACGGGUGAGUAAUGUCUGGGAAACUGCCUGAUGGAGGGGGAUAACCACUGGAAACGGUAGCUAAUACCGCAUACCAUCAGAUUUUCCCAGAUGGGUUUAGUUUGUGGGUGGGGUAACGGCUAACCUAGGCGACGAUCCCUAGCUGGUCUGCGGGGAUGACCAGCCAAACUGGAACUGAUACACGGUCCAGACGCCUACGGGAGGCAGCAGUGGGGAAUAUUGCACAAUGGGCGAAAGCCUGAUGCAGCCAGGCCGCGUGUGUGAAGAAGGCCUUCGGGUUUUAAAGCACUUUCAGCGGGGAGGCGUUACCCGCAGAAGAAGCACCGGCUAACUCCGUGCCAGCAGCCGCGGUAAUAC